rnacentral:rRNA from 1 species
CAAGGAAUAUUGCGCAAUGGACGAAAGUCUGACGCAGCAACACCGCGUGGAGGAUGAAGGCCUUCGGGUCGUAAACUCCUUUCUGGGGGAAGAGAAAGGACGGUACCCCAGGAAUAAGUCUCGGCUAACUACGUUGCCAGCAGCCGCGGUAAAACGUAGGAGGCGAACGUUAUCCGGAUUUACUGGGCGUAAAGCGCAUGCAGGCGGUUUCUUAAGUCGGACGUGAAAGCUCCUGGGCUCAACUGGGAGAGGUCGUUCGAAACUGGGAAACUUGAGGAUGGUAGAGGAGAGUGGAAUUCCCGGUGUAGUGGUGAAAUGCGUAGAUAUCGGGAGGAACACCAGUGGCGAAGGCGGCUCUCUGGGCCAUUCCUGACGCUAAGAUGCGAAAGCUAGGGGAGAGAACGGGAUUAGAAACCCCGGUAUUCCUAGCCGUAACGAUGUCAACUAGGUGUAGGGGGUAUCCGAACCCCUCUGUGCUGUAGCAAACGCGUUAAGUUGACCGCCUGGGGACUACGGCCGCAAGGCU